rnacentral:tRNA from 1 species
GGCAGCGUGGCCGAGUGGUCUAAGGCGCUGGUUUUAGGCACCAGUCCGAGAGGGCGUGGGUUCAUAUCCCACCGCUGUCA